GCACUUCACAUAUACUCAUGCUGACUUCUACACUAGAAGUUACGCAAAAAUAUGAAUUCCAUCCACAUAAAAAUACUUCAUCCAUGAGACAUGACUCUCUCCCAUCAUUAUGCAAAAAGAUAUGAGCUAUGCAAAAAUAAGAAAAAGGAGAAAAAGAAAUAAAUAUCCUGCUCAAAAGCAUGAGAGAAAAAAGAGAGAAAGAAAUAGAAAAACAUAAAGAAAGAAAGAUAGCCCGUAUCCCAAAAAGAAAUAAGAGGGGAGUCAUGCAAAAAGGAGUUCAAAUAAAUUCCACUAAAAUUCCACACAUAUGCACUUGUUGAUCACAUUGUAUGACUUGCACCUCCUCAGAUCCACUAUUUGACUUUGCAACAUUAUGUGAUACAAGUAUGCAUCAUUUCAUAUCCUACCCAAAACCCCAUAAAAGCCUAUUAGAUGUAGGAUGAAAAGAGGCAACUUCAUGCCUUGGUGAGGACUAUACACAUUUGAGUCAUCGAGAGGCAUCAUAUGAGGAACUUGCUUUCAUUAAAAAAACUUAUCAAAAACCUCCAAAAACAUAGUUGAACAAGGAGUAAGAGAAUGGUGACUUUAUAUAACUGUUCUAUCAUAUAACCGCCCAAGACAAGGAAAAGCUUGACUUUAUAUAACUGUUCUAUCAUACA
rnacentral:lncRNA from 1 species